UGGCUCAGUUGGUAGAGCGUGGUGUUUGCAAUGCCAGGGUUGUGGGUUCGAUUCCCAC
rfam:Salmo salar isolate Sally breed double haploid chromosome ssa15, whole genome shotgun sequence.